rnacentral:rRNA from 1 species
AGUGAACGCUAGUGGCGUGCUUAACACAUGCAAGUCGAACGGACGAUAUUUGUGCUUGCACAAAUAAAGUUAGUGGCAAACGGGUGAGUAAUGCUUGGGAACUUGCCUUUGCGAGGGGGAUAACAGUUGGAAACGACUGCUAAUACCGCAUAAUGUCUUCGGACCAAACGGGGCUUCGGCUCCGGCGCAAAGAGAGGCCCAAGUGAGAUUAGCUAGUUGGUAAGGUAACGGCUUACCAAGGCGACGAUCUCUAGCUGUUCUGAGAGGAAGAUCAGCCACACUGGGACUGAGACACGGCCCAGACUCCUACGGGAGGCAGCAGUGGGGAAUAUUGCACAAUGGGGGAAACCCUGAUGCAGCCAUGCCGCGUGUGUGAAGAAGGCCUUCGGGUUGUAAAGCACUUUCAGUUGUGAGGAAAAGUUAGUAGUUAAUACCUGCUAGCCGUGACGUUAACAACAGAAGAAGCACCGGCUAACUCCGUGCCAGCCGCCGCAGUAAAAC